rnacentral:rRNA from 1 species
AUACGGAGGGGGCGAGCGUUGUCCGAAUUUAUUGGGCGUAAAGCGCGUGUAGGCGGAUCGUCAAGCCUGGGGUGAAAGGUCGGGGCUCAACCCCGCACAGUGCCCUGGGGACUGGCGGUCUGGAGGCAGGCAGAGGAGCGUAGAAUUCCUGGUGUAGCGGUGGAAUGCGUAGAGAUCAGGAAGAAUACCCGUGGCGAAGGCGGCGCUCUGGGCCUGUACUGACGCUGAGACGCGAAAGCGGGGGGAGCGAACGGGAUUAGAUACCCCGGUAGUCCACGCCGUAAACGAUGGAUGCUCGGUGUCGGGGGUAUCGACCCCCUCGGCGCCUUAGGUAACCCGGUAAGCAUCCCGCCUGGGGAGUACGGCCGCAAGGUUGAA